rnacentral:misc_RNA from 1 species
GAUGAAGAACGUAGCGAAAUGCGAUAAGUAAUGUGAAUUGCAGAAUUCAGUGAAUCAUCGAAUCUUUGAACGCACAUUGCGCCCGCCAGUAUUCUGGCGGGCAUGCCUGUUCGAGCGUCAUUUCAACCCUCAAGACCCCUUCGGGGGACUUGGUGUUGGGGACCGGCACAGGGGCCUGCCUGCUUGUCUUGCAGCGCCCUCGCCGCCCCCGAAAUGAAUUGGCGGCCUCGUCGCGGCCUCCCCUGCGUAGUAGCACAAACCUCGCAACGGGAACGUGACGGCGGCCACUGCCGUAAAACAACCCAAUUUUGUUAGAGUUGACCUCGAAUCAGGUAGGAAUACCCGCUGAACUUAAGCAUAUCAAUAAGCGGAGGA